GACGCUGGCGGCGUGCUUAACACAUGCAAGUCGAACGGUAAGGCCCUUCGGGGUACACGAGUUGGCGAACGGGUUGAGUAACACGUGGGUGAUCUGCCCUGCACUUCGGGAUAAGCCUGGGAAACUGGGUCUAAUACCGGAUAGGACUCCUGGCUUCAUGGUUGGGGGUGUAAAGCUUUUGCGGUGUGGGAUGGGCCCGCGGCCUAUCAGCUUGUUGUGGGGUAAUGGCCUACCAAGGCGACGACGGGUAGCCGGCCUGAGAGGGUGACCGGCCACACUGGGACUGAGAUACGGCCCAGACUCCUACGGGAGGCAGCAGUGGGGAAUAUUGCACAAUGGGCGCAAGCCUGAUGCAGCGACGCCGCGUGAGGGAUGACGGCCUUCGGGUUGUAAACCUCUUUCAAUAGGGACGAAGCGCAAGUGACGGUACCUAUAGAAGAAGGACCGGCCAACUACGUG
rnacentral:rRNA from 1 species